GCCACGCCCGCUCAAGAAACUUAAAGGAAUGACGGGGCCCGCACAAGCGGAGGAGCAUGUGGUUUAAUUCGAUGAUACGCGAGGAACCUUACCUGGGCUCGAACGUAAGAUGACUGUAGGUGAAAGCUUACAUCUCUUCGGAGCAUUUUACGAGGUGCUGCAUGGUUGUCGUCAGCUCGUGCCGUGAGGUGUCGGGUUAAGUCCCAUAACGAGCGCAACCCCUACCUUAGUUGCCAUCAGGUAAUGCUGGGGACUCUAAAGGAACUGCCUACGCAAGUAGUGAGGAAGGCGGGGAUGACGUCAAAUCAGCACGGCCCUUACGUCCAGGGCUACACACGUGCUACAAUGGCCGAUACAGAGGGCAGCUACCUGGUGACAGGAUGCAAAUCUCCAAAGUCGGUCUCAGUUCGGAUCGGAGUCUGCAACCCGACUCCGUGAAGUUGGAUUCGCUAGUAAUCGUGGAUCAGCAUGCCACGGUGAAUACGUUCCCGGGCCUU
rnacentral:rRNA from 1 species